rnacentral:lncRNA from 1 species
GAAGAGGCAGCUUGAGUUUGAACUUGGGAAAGGCCAUUUUCUCUUAGUGAGAUAGAGUGAGAAGACGACUGUUGUCGCUGUUCUUGUGUGAUCGAGCGAACCGUGUUCUCUAUCUCUCCAUUCACCUUCCUCACGUGGAUCGAACAAGAAGCUUCGUGUCUUGCUUGUUCUCCCCCUGCUUCGUGGAGCCGUCGGAGAGGGUCAAGGGUGUCGUGGGUGCGUGGAGCUACCGGAGUUAGUAGUGGUGCACGUUGCUGUGCGCUUAGAGAAGGAAACGGGACUGAGCCGAAGCUUUACCCCCUGCUGCUCGUGCU